ACGCUGUUCCUGAGCUGCGCAGCUGUAACUAAACGCAGCGUAGUGAACGCUGAAGCCAGCCCAGCUCCUCUGGUUGCGUGUUUUGCACACACACGCACGGAAACUUUUGCAUUUCUCUCCCUUUCCCUCCUCCUCACCUCGGCAUAAAAAGGAAGAAAAGGUUGACGGCGUGUGGCGCAGCGCGACAGUCUAGCCCGGUAUCCGGUUACAGACCGUGCGCCGAGGAGCCACCGGCGCAGAGCGCUUCUUUCCCCGCGGGGCAGAAAGGGCACGCGGGGCUCCGGAGGGACCGAGCGCAGAGGAAUCUCUCCGCAGGGAACCGCAUAGGGAGGCGUUUCUGUUUCACAAGGGUCGGUGUUUUCAGAAAGCAGAGAGGAUAUUUCACCCAAAGCUCCUCGUUAACCCACCAACACUCUCCUCACCGGGACAAGACUCGCAGCUGCGCGCCCUGCUAGAUGAACGGGAGUUGGCCACCUUGCUUGGUGUGUCCUCUUGGCCUCUGAGGCCUAAGGAGAAAGUACGACAAGCUCAGGCUCCCAUGGGACGCCCUGUUGUCCAGCAUGCACUGCUGCUGCUGCAGUGCAUGCUGGUCCUGCACCCCGGAGGCGUGGCCGGCAGGCGAGGGCCAGUCCUGCUGCCUGAAUCACCAUGCCACAAAUCAGAGCAUCCGCUCAUUCCACACUCAGAGAUGGAGUCAUGGAUCUUUAGGUUCAAAGCCGAGGGCACGGUGGAUUACUCACAGCUGACCUUUGACCCCGGCCAGAACGAGCUGAUUGUUGGUGCCAGAAAUCACCUCUUCAGGCUCAACCUCGAAGACCUGACGUUGAUCCAGGAGGCUGAGUGGCACUGUGAUGAGUUCACCAAGGGAGCCUGCUUCAGUCGGGGGAAAUCUGAGGAGGAGUGCCAGAACUACAUCAGGGUGCUGUUGGUAAAUGGGAACAGGCUGUUUACCUGUGGAACCAACGCAUUCACCCCCAUCUGCACCAACCGAACGCUGACUAACCUGACAGAGAUCCAUGAUCAGAUCAGUGGAAUGGCUCGGUGUCCUUACAAUCCCCUGCACAACUCCACCGCCCUUAUCACGUCCAACGGGGAGCUUUAUGCUGCGACGGCCAUGGAUUUCUCCGGGCGAGACCCCGCCAUCUACCGCAGCCUGGGUGGGAUGCCCCCAUUACGCACUGCCCAGUACAACUCCAAGUGGCUCAAUGAGCCUAACUUUGUCUCCUCCUAUGAUAUUGGUAACUUCACCUACUUCUUCUUCCGGGAGAACGCGGUGGAGCACGACUGUGGCAGAACGGUGUUUUCCCGGGCAGGGCGAGUUUGUAAAAAUGACAUUGGUGGACGUUUUCUUCUGGAGGACACGUGGACCACCUUCAUGAAGGCCAGGCUGAACUGCUCCAGACCAGGAGAGAUCCCCUUCAACUACAACGAGCUGCAGGGCACAUUCUACUUACCUGAGCUGGAGCUGCUCUACGGCAUUUUUACCACCAAUGUGAACAGCAUUGCUGCCUCUGCGGUGUGUGCCUUCAAUCUCAGUGCCAUAUCGCAGGUUUUCAACGGACCCUUCAAGUUCCAGGAGAACUCGCGCUCCGCCUGGCUGCCAUAUCCCAAUCCCAACCCAGACUUCCAGUGUGGCACCAUCAACUCAGGCUCCUAUGUGAACCUGACUCAAAGGAACCUGCAGGACGCUCAGAAGUUUUUGCUGAUGCACGAGGUGGUCCAACCCGUGGUGCCUGUGCCCUACUUCAUGGAGGACAACGUCCGCUUCACUCACAUCGCAGUGGAUGUGGUGCAGGGGAAAGACACGCUGCUUCACAUCAUCUACUUGGCCACUGAUUACGGCACGAUCAGGAAAGUGCUUUCUCCUCUCAACCAGUCCACAGGGAGCUGCCUAUUGGAGGAGAUCGAGCUGUUCCCGCCCAGGAAGAGGCAGCCCAUACGAAGCCUGCUGAUCCUGCACAGCCGCAGCGAGCUUUAUGUGGGCGUAAGGGACCAGGUCAUCAAGAUCCCACUCAAGAGAUGCAGCUACCACAAGAGCAGAGAAGCCUGUGUAGGAGCCAGAGACCCCUACUGUGGAUGGGAUCUGUUGCUGAAGAAAUGCACUACCUUGGAGGAGAGUGUCAGAAUGAGCCAGUGGGAGCAGAGCAUCUCCAAAUGUCCUGUCCGUAACGUGACAGUGGACGGCGGUUUUGGUGCCUGGUCCGGCUGGUCCGCCUGCAGUCACAACGACGGCAGCAGCGCCGGGUCCUGUCUGUGUCGGACACGAGCCUGUGAUAACCCCGCCCCUCAGUGUGGCGGCCAGUCGUGCAACGGGAUCAGCGUCGAAGUCGCUAACUGCUCCAGAAACGGAGCGUGGACUCCAUGGACGUCCUGGUCCCCCUGCAGCACCAGCUGUGGAAUCGGCUUCCAGGUGCGUCAGCGCUCCUGCAGCAACCCGGCGCCUCGCCACGGUGGCCGGGUGUGUGUUGGCCAGAACCGUGAGGAGAGGUACUGUAAUGAACACCUGCCCUGCCCGCCACAUGUUUACUGGUCGGCCUGGUCGGCCUGGGACCGCUGCAACGUGCCCUGUGGCGGAGGCAUCCAAUCACGCCGCAGAACUUGUGAGAAUGGCAACGACUGUCCUGGGUGCGGUCAGGAGUAUCAGCCGUGCAACACGUUGCCGUGCCCCGACCUUAAGAAGACCACACCCUGGACUCCAUGGACGCCUGUCAACAUCUCGGACAAUGGCGGCCACUACGAGCAGCGUUUCCGCUACACGUGCAAAGCUCGGAUCCCGGAUGCCAGCAUGUUGGAAGUGGGGAGGCAGCGGAUCGAGAUGCGCUACUGCUCCAGCGACGGAUCCACCGGCUGUUCGACUGACGGUGAAGUUCUCCGUCUGGGGAGAAUCUCAGGCCACACGGUGAACGGCGGCUGGUCCUCCUGGAGCUCUUGGUCUCAGUGCAGCAGAGAUUGCAGUCGAGGAAUCCGGAGCCGAAAGAGGACCUGCAGUAACCCCGAGCCCCGGUACGGAGGUCAGACUUGUCUCGGUCCAGCACAGGAGUACCAGGAGUGCAACAUCACCCCUUGCCCAGUGGACGGCAGCUGGUCGUGCUGGUCUUCGUGGUCCAAGUGCUCUGUAACAUGUGGCGGGGGCCACUACAUGAGGACUCGGUCCUGCAGCAACCCUCCUCCAGCUUACGGAGGAGACAUCUGCCUGGGUCUGCACACAGAGGAGGCUCUAUGCAACACACAGGCGUGUCCGGAGAGCUGGUCCAGCUGGUCUGAGUGGUCCCACUGUGACUCCAGCGGUUCCCAGCUGCGCGUGCGCCACUGCGAUGUGCUUUUCCCGACUGGAAACCAGUGCUCAGGAAACCGCAGCGAGACCCGACCCUGCUCUCCAGACUCUAACUUUAUACCAGAAGUCUCUAUUGCACGCUCCAGUCAGGAGGAGAGGCGCUGUGGAGAUUUUAACCUUUUCCACAUGAUAGCCGUGGGGCUCAGCAGCUCCAUCCUCGGCUGCUUGGUCACCCUGCUCGUCUACUCCUACUGCCAGCGCUACCAGCAGCAGUCCCACGAUGCCACCGUCAUCCACCCCAUCUCUGCCGCGCCGCUCAACACCAGCAUCACCAACCACAUCAACAAACUGGACAAGUACGACUCUGUGGAGGCCAUCAAGCCAGAUGUGUCGGUCCUCUUGCCUCUGGACGACCCCACCAUGCACCAGCCUCUCUCUGCUAACAUGGGGGUGUCUAUGCGUGGACUGGAGAUUUUCUACUAACCUCUGACCUCUACGACAUCCCCGCGUCUCCACCCCUAACCCAACAGCUCUAUGACCUCCCCCCAACUACUACUUCCUCUUCCCCAACGUGCCCUGCCCUUCCACUUCCUGUGUGUGGCAGGCCUUCAACAAAAAUAAUUUGAUUCUGGAGGAACGAAACAAGUACUUCAACCCACAGCUCACCGGGAAGACUUACACCAACGCAUACUUCACCGACCUCAACACCUACGAUGACUAUUAACCCCUGAACUCCAUGCCACAGCGGAGACCCCUACCCCGAUGUCCAUUUAGACUUUUCUUUGUUCUUUGUAUCGAGAUUCGUGGAACCAUGCCUGGGAUCGUCCCGCUUCGAGACUCAGUGGCAGCUGGUGAUGAAAACACUCAGUGAUGCAGACAGAGAGAAACUUCCUCUCAGGUGCCUUGGAGGACGCUCGGAAAACUGUCGCAUCUUGCUUUGACUCUCUCUGAGAAACGGACAACUGGAUUUUCCAAAGGGAGAACUCUGCUGAGACACCGUUGGAAAAGCGUUCCCUUCUGCUGGAAUUUUUUUGUUUUUUUCCUGGUGCCUCUGAAACAGACGUGUUUGUAACAAUGGGGGAAACGACCACAAAUUGCUUUGCAUGAGUUCAUCCGAUGUGUUUUUCUCUGUUUCGUUUUGCAUGACGGAUCGCGUUCCCGUGUUCCGCUGGCGGUGUUUUGGUUUAUUUGCUCUUCUUGGGUUGGUGGAGCAUCCUGGUCUGCAGAUGCAGUGAACUCCAGAUCGAUCAACGUCCACGCCCUAGUCGUAGAGUCAGGAUGUAGAUAUUUGAAGUCCGCGAUCAAGACCCUUCAUGUUUUUUUUUCCUUCUCCUUUGUUUCUUUAGCAGUUAGAAAAGAUCGAGCCGUCAAUGUAAAUGUGACAUUUAUUCUGUUCUUUUAGGAGCUUCAUAUGUUUUUGUACAGAAAAUGAUGUUUGAUGCCUCGAUGUCUGUAGAUUUUCUAAAAAAAAGGACGCAUUUAUUCAAUGUCUCAAGUGUUUAAAGAACACAUUAUUUUGAAAAGAUAAAAAUUCUUUCAUGUGUGCAUUUUGGCGAUUGAUCGGGAGUGUUCAUCACAGGCUGCAUCAUUGUACUUUUUAUAUAUUUUAUGUAAAAAGAAAAAACUUAUGGUUUUGACUUUUGAUAGUAUUAAUUUGGCUUCAGACGGAGCGUAGCGAGUCCCAUCACAUUUACUGUAAUCAUUUCCUUUUAGAAAGCGAUCAGGUUAAUUGUUGCUCUUUUUACAUGUUUGCCUGUGUUGCUGUGCAUAAAUUAAAAAUGCUUCCUAUAAGAUGUCUUCUGA